UUUCCGUAGGUGAACCUGCGGAAGGAUCAUUACAGAGUUCAUGCCCUUCGGGGUAGACCUCCCACCCUUGAGCAACAUACAUUGUUGCUUUGGCGGACGCUUCGGCAGCCGCCAGAGGACCCUAAACUCUUGUUUACAGUGUCGUCUGAGUACUAUAUAAUAGUUAAAACUUUCAACAACGGAUCUCUUGGUUCUGGCAUCGAUGAAGAACGCAGC
rnacentral:misc_RNA from 1 species